GAGAGAGAGCUGAGCGAUGCCACCACAACGGGAAGGAUGGCUCCGAAAAUGUUUCUGCAGGAUCGCUGUGGAAAGACCUUUAUCAGCUAGUGGCUAUAAAUUUAUUUUCUGCAAAGGAACCUUCAGGCAUAAUGCGCACAGAAAGGACAUAAAAGGCAAUCUGUCUUUAGAUGGCUUCCUCAGCUGAAAGAUUUAAUUCCCGAUAAGACAACCUAUCAACCAACAGAAAAUGGACUUUUGAGUAAGGACAACCAGCUGCACCAAUGCAGGUGCUGGUAGCAGGCUCAGCCUGGCACCCGCUCUGCUCCCAGGAAAGAGGCACAGGGGGC